rnacentral:rRNA from 1 species
GAGCAAAAUGUAAUUUUCAGUUUGACACCCCGAAACCAAGCGAGCUACUUCAGAACAGCCUAAAGGGCCAACCCGUCUCUGUUGCAAAAGAGUGGGAAGAUUCUCAAGUAGAGGUGAUAAGCCUACCGAGCCUGGAGAUAGCUGGUUGUUUAGAAAAAGAGUCUAAGCUCUACCUUAAGUUUCUUUAUUAGACUAAACAAACCCUAAAACUUAAGAGCUAUUCAAAUAAGGCACAGCUUAUUUGAAACAGGGCACAACCUACAACAUAGGGUAAACAAGAGUGCCUCAAACAAAGUGGGCCUAAAAGCAGCCACCUUUAAAAAAGCGUUAAAGCUUACCUACCCCUUACUCACAAUACCAUAAAUCUCAAUUAACCCCUCACCACUACUAAACAAUUUUAUAUUAAUAUAAAAGC